rnacentral:piRNA from 1 species
CAGCUCCAGACUUGAGCUUGCCACUGUC